AUAAAUAGUAAAUAGAAAGUAAUAAUAAAAAUAUUAUCUAUUUAUUUAUUUUGAGAAAAUUGUUAAGUUUGUUCUCUAUAUAUUCGCGUGAGAGUUCCUGCUUAUGUCAGUAUCUCUUUCUGAAGAAGCUAAUUUCUUCCUACAAGAUGGAUCAUCUGCUUAUGAAUACACGACCACUCUUCUCACUAAACUACCAUGCCAUCUUUCUUCUGUUCCUCUCUUUAUCCAUCUCUAAAUUUUCCUUAGCUACCACACUUUCAAACGAAACUGAUAAACUUGCACUGCUCCAAUUCAAGUCCCACAUAGAUGGCCCUCUUAAUGUCCUGGCUUCUUGGAAUGACUCUUUCCAUUUCUGCCACUGGGUUGGGGUCACUUGUGGCAACAAACACCAAAGAGUCAUCGGUUUGGACCUAAAAAACAAUAAGUUGGUAGGCACCAUAUCACCCCACAUUGGAAAUCUUUCUUUCCUUCGAUCCCUCAACCUUGCAAGUAACUCUUUCCAUGGUGGAAUUCCCUCAGAAGUUGGUUACUUGACCAGGCUUCGAAAUUUGAACCUGAGUCAUAAUCCAAUAUUGGGAGGGGAAAUUCCAGUCAAUCUUUCUCACUGUUCCAACAUACAGUAUCUUGAUCUCCGGUACAACGAUUUAGUACAAGGAAUCCCUUCAGAACUUGGCUUUUUGUCAAAACUUCAGGUACUAAUUCUUUACAACAAUCAUCUAAGUGGAAGGUUCCCACCUUCUCUGGGGAACUUGUCCUCUCUCCAAAAACUUUCGUUUGGAGAUAACAAUUUGGAGGGAGAAAUCCCAAAUACAGUAGCCCAAAUGAAAAGCUUGACAUAUUUUAGUGUAGCAAUAAAUCAUCUUUCUGGUGUGUUUCCACCUUCCCUAUACAAUUUAUCAUUGCUCACAUGUAUUGGCUUGACUGAUAACAACUUCACUGGUAACCUCAACCCCGACUUGGGCAUUGCUCUUCAAAAUCUGCAGAUACUUGAUAUAGGAGGAAACCAAUUUACAGGAACAAUUCCAGUUUCAUUGUCCAAUGUGUCAGAUAUUCAACAGCUUGAUAUACCAUAUAAUCAAUUUACAGGAACCAUUCCUAUGAGUUUUGGUAAUCUACUAAAUCUUCAAUAUUUUGGUGCUCAAUCUAAUCUUCUUGGAAAUAACCCAGUUGAUGAUUUGAGUUUUCUGAGUUCUUUGAACAAUUGCAGCCAGUUAAACAAUCUGCAUGUCAGCGAUAACCAGGUUGGAGGUGAGCUGCCUAACUCCAUAACAAACCUCUCAAUCCAAUUAUUACGUCUUCGGCUAGACGGCAAUUCUAUUGGUGGGAGCAUACCUACACGAAUAUCAAAUCUUGUUAGCCUAACUGAACUUAACCUGGGAUCUAACUUGUUAACAGGGAAUAUUCCAUCUUCAAUUGGAAAGCUCACAAACUUGAACGUUUUGUCCUUGGGUGGAAACAAAUUGACUGGGGUGAUCCCGUCUUCCAUUGGCAACAUGACUCAAUUACUAAAGCUCUACUUGUUCAAUAACGGCUUAGAAGGGAGCAUACCCACUAGUCUUGGAAGGUGUAGCGACCUGCAAGAGGUAUACCUUUACCAUAAUAAAUUAAAUGGCACCAUACCCGAGCAACUUUUUGGCCUUCUUCUGGUCCAAAUUGAUGUGUCUCAUAACUCCUUGACCGGUUUUUUACCACCAGAUUUUGGAAACAUGAAACUUCUAGUUUUACUAGACGUUUCAUACAACAAAUUUUCCAAAUAGAUUCCAGCCCAGCUAGGGGACUGUUUGGCCUUAGAAACACUUUGUAUGCAAGGCAACUCCUUUGAAGGAACCAUUCCCGACCUAAGUAAGUUAAAAGGUAUUCAAUAUCUUGAUCUUUCCCACAACAACUUGUCCGGCCAAAUCCCAAGCUAUAUGGUUAAUUUUCCCGUGUUGCAAACUUUAAACCUGUCUUUCAACAAUCUUGAGGGAGAUGUACCUGUAGAAGGGGUCUUCAGAAAUGCUAGUGUAGUUGAAGUCAAAGGCAACACUGGUCUUUGUGGGGGGAUCCAGGAGCUGCAUUUGCCUGCAUGCCCCAUUCAAAGAUCCAAGAAACACAAAAAGCAUUUUGCUUUUAAAUUGAUACUGGCAAUAAGCAUUGCAAUUGCUUUCUACUUGACAUUGUUUUCUUUGAUGGUUCUUUCCUGGUUGAAAAAGUCGAAGAAAAAAAGCCUUUCCAUUUCCACCUUUGGACCCUCCUACCAAAAGAUCUCUUAUAAAGAAUUACACAAUGCAACUGAUGGAUUCUCUUUGGAGAAUUUGAUUGGUUCAGGUAAUUUUGGUAGUGUCUAUAAAGGAAAACUUGGUCUAGAUGAAACACAUGUUGCAGUCAAGGUACUCAAUCUUCAAAAGCAAGGAGCUUCCAAGAGUUUCAUUGCCGAAUGUGAAGCCUUGAGGAACAUCCGACAUCGAAACCUCGUUAAGAUUCUGACUGCUUGUUCGAGUAUUGAUUUUAAGGGCAAUGAUUUUAAAGCUUUAGUAUAUGAGUUCAUGCCAAAUGGAAGCUUGGAGAUGCAGUUACAUCCUAAAGAUGGGCUCAAGCAAUUGAGAAGUUUAAAUCUUCUUCAAAGAAUCAACAUUGCUAUAGACGUGGCUUCGGCUUUGCUUUAUCUUCAUCAUCACUGCCAAACCCCUAUUAUUCAUUGUGAUCUAAAACCAAGCAAUAUUCUUCUCGAUGAUGAUAUGAUUGCUCAUAUAAGUGAUUUUGGUUUGGCCAGACUCCUUUCGAAAUUUGGGAAGGAAGCUUUUCUUAAUCAAUUAAGCUCAACAGGGAUUAUGGGAACUAUUGGAUAUGCUGCUCCAGAGUAUGGAAUGGGUAGUCAACUUUCAACUAAUGGGGAUGUGUACAGCUUUGGGAUCCUCUUAUUGGAGAUGUUAACUAGAAGAAGACCCACUGAUAAACUAUUCAAAGAUGACCUGAACCUUCACAACUUUGUUAAGUUGGCAUUGCCGGGACGAGUGAUGGAGAUUGUGGACCAUUCAAUUUUCAACAAAGCAGGAGAAAAUGAUAACGUGGUUUCAAGUUGGAGUGACUGGACAAGAGGACAGACUGAAUGCUUGAUAUCGGUCUUUCAGAUUGGACUUGCAUGUUCAGCACAAUCUCCUAUAGACAGAAUGGACAUGAACAGAGUAGCCCUAGAAUUGCUUUCAAUUAAAAGGCAAAUUCCUUUGGAAGCUUAACAUUACAGGCGAAGCCCAAUAAUAGGUAUUGGUUGAGGGCAAAGCUUGGUCUAGAAUAGCAAUUCUGAACAGGCCUACUGUGCUCAAUUGUCUUAGUACUGCAAUGGUGUGUUUUUUACUAGAUACUAUGUGUGUUUAUGUUUUUGGCUAUUGGGUUGGUACCCAAUUUAUAAGAUUGGUUCAGUUAAAGAUUUGUUUUCUGGGUCUUUGUUUUUAUAGUGUUUGGUUGAGAAUCAUUAUGUUUAAUUGGGUUUACUUCAGUUGUGUAAUAUCCUGUAUCUGUGUUGUUAUAUACCCUCCAUUUGGUUCAAUUGAAAACAUUACUUGGGUUAUUA